GCUCUGGACUGAUUGUCAGAAUGUCUCUAGAAAUGUCUCUGUGAGAUUUCUCAGCUUCCCCACAGGUCAGAAGUAAUCUGUGGUACCACAGACACAUGUGAAGUGAUGGGCAGGCAGCCCAGGAACCCUGGGUAAGGCUAUUCUAAGGAUGCUCUACAGAGUCUCAGUUAUUUGACAAAUAUAACCUUAAGUAGAACAUAAUGAUGAUCAUGCAGCAACAUACCUGCUCCCCCC
rnacentral:lncRNA from 1 species